rnacentral:rRNA from 1 species
CCUACGGGAGGCAGCAGUGAGGAAUAUUGGUCAAUGGACGAGAGUCUGAACCAGCCAAGUAGCGUGAAGGAUGACUGCCCUAUGGGUUGUAAACUUCUUUUAUAAAGGAAUAAAACGAGGCACGUGUGCCUUUUUGCAUGUACUUUAUGAAUAAGGAUCGGCUAACUCCGUGCCAGCAGCCGCGGUAAUACGGAGGAUCCGAGCGUUAUCCGGAUUUAUUGGGUUUAAAGGGAGCGUAGAUGGGUUGUUAAGUCAGUUGUGAAAGGUUGCGGCUCAACCGUAAAAUUGCAAUUGAAACUGGCAGUCUUGAGUACAGUUGAGGUAGGCGGAAUUCGUGGUGUAGCGGUGAAAUGCUUAGCUAUCACGAAGAACCCCGAUUGCGAAGGCAGCUUACUAAACUGUGACUGACAUUGAUGCUCGAAAGUGUGGGUAUCAAACAGGAUUAGAUACCCUAGUAGUC